rnacentral:tRNA from 1 species
GGACCGGUGUCCGAGUGGCUUAAGGAGCACGAUUGGAAAUCGUGUGGGGUGAAUAGCCCUCGUGGGUUCGAAUCCCACCCGGUCCG